rnacentral:misc_RNA from 1 species
UAAUAAGUGUUUUAUGGCACUUUUUAAAUCCAUAUCCACCUUGUGUGCAAUGUCAGUCGAUCUUCUUCAUGGAGAUCGACCAAACAUCAACCUUUAUUUUUUAACUCUGUCGUCUUGAGAAUCUCUGAGUAUCAUAUUAAACAAAAAAA